UACGUAGGGUGCAAGCGUUGUCCGGAAUUAUUGGGCGUAAAGAGCUCGUAGGCGGUUUGUCGCGUCUGCUGUGAAAACUCGGGGCUUAACUCCGGGCCUGCAGUGGGUACGGGCAGACUAGAGUGCGGUAGGGGAGACUAGAAUUGCUGGUGUAGCGGUGAAAUGCGCAGAUAUCAGGAGGAACACCGGUGGCGAAGGCGGGUCUCUGGGCCGUAACUGACGCUGAGGAGCGAAAGCGUGGGGAGCAAACGGG
rnacentral:rRNA from 1 species